UAGCAUGAAGAAUCACUA
rnacentral:rRNA from 1 species